CUCGUAGGAUGAAAGUUGCCGUCGCUGGCAGUAGGCUACUCUGGAGGAGCGUUUUCUUGUGCUUAUUUCACGCUGGGCAUCGUGUGACAAAAGCUCCCUGGAAUCCUGCCUUAUUUCACCCGACAUUUGACUAGUAGACUACCCAUGUUCAUCAAGCUGACGCGCCCUCCCUCCUCCACUCUGACCCCUCGGGCCUCUUGCCCAUAGCACAAACAAGGCCAAGGUAGGCAGCAAUGGCUUACUUGUACUGCCAGUUAACCAUGCAAUAAUGAUUGGGGUUGCUACAUGGGUUCAGAAAAAUGUGUAUUUGUAUGUUAUUUAUAUUUUAAGAUUUAAGUGCAUACAUUUUGUACUGAUUAAAAGUUCUUUGUAUUGAUAACUGUAAAGUUAUGACUUGUGGCAUGUAGGUGAUAAUUGAAG